rnacentral:rRNA from 1 species
CUAGGUGGCUAUAGCGAAGGGGCUACACCCGUUCCCAUUCCGAACACGGCAGUUAAGUCCUUCUGCGCCGAUGAUACUAUGCGGGAAGCUGCAUGGGAAAGUAGGUCGUCGCCUGGU